UACCAGCUCUCCGAGUGGUGGGGACGCUUAUUGGCCUAAAGCAUUCGUAGCCGGCUGGGCAAGUCCUCCGUUAAAUCCAACGAUUCAAUCGUUGGCCUGCAGGGGAUACUGUUUGGCUAGGAGGCGGUAGAGGCCGACGGUAUUUCCGGGGUAGGGGUGAAAUCCUAUAAUCCCGGGAGGACCAUCAGUGGCGAAGGCUGUCGGCUGGAACGCGCUCGACGGUGAGGGAUGAAAGCUGGGGGAGCGAACCGGAUUAGAUACCCGGGUAGUCCCAGCUGUAAACUUUGCAGGCUGGGUGUUGGUGCGGCUACGUGCCGCUCCGGUGCCGUAGGGAAACCGUUAAGCCUGCCGCCUGGGAAGUACGGUCGCAAGGCUGAAACUUAAAGGAAUUGGCGGGGAGCACCACAAGGGGUGAAGCUUGCGGUUU
rnacentral:rRNA from 1 species